rnacentral:rRNA from 1 species
GAUGAACGCUGGCGGCGUGCCUAAUACAUGCAAGUCGAGCGAACAGAUGAGGAGCUUGCUCCUCUGACGUUAGCGGCGGACGGGUGAGUAACACGUGGAUAACCUACCUAUAAGACUGGGAUAACUUCGGGAAACCGGAGCUAAUACCGGAUAAUAUAUUGAACCGCAUGGUUCAAUAGUGAAAGACGGUUUUGCUGUCACUUAUAGAUGGAUCCGCGCCGCAUUAGCUAGUUGGUAAGGUAACGGCUUACCAAGGCAACGAUGCGUAGCCGACCUGAGAGGGUGAUCGGCCACACUGGAACUGAGACACGGUCCAGACUCCUACGGGAGGCAGCAGGAGGGAAUCUUCCGCAAUGGGCGAAAGCCUGACAGAGCAAUGCCGCGUGAGUGAUGAAGGUCUUCGGAUCGUAAAACUCUGUUAUUAGGGAAGAACAAAUGUGUAAGUAACUAUGCACGUCUUGACGGUACCUAAUCAGAAAGCCACGGCUAACUACGUG